GCCUGGGAAACAGAGCAAGACUCUGCCUCGAAAAAAACAAAAAACAACAAAACAAAAACCCAAGAGUCCUACAGGGAGGCAAACAUCUUGCUCCUUUUGACACAUGGUAUAAUACUCCCCAACUUGUUAGCUACGUGAUUUGGGGCAAGUUAAUUAAUAUCAUUGUACGUCUGCUGCAAAAAAAAAAAAAAAAGUAUAAAAAGAUUCCUCCUUCACAGAGUUGCUCAAUUAUUAAAUUAGUUAAUACAUAUAAAUGCACUUAAGAGUAUUUCCUAGUACAUAAUAAUUAUUUGAUAAAUACCAACUAUUAUUAUUCUGGCCUUUUCCUUCUCAAAUUUAUUUCUAAUGAAUAAACAAUCUGUAAUAGGGUUGCAGGCCAGCCUCUAAUAAAUGAAACAGCCUCUAAUAAAUGAAUAGAUGAGGCAACCCUUAAAAACUUAAAGGAGGUAAUUCUAAGAUGUGUUGAAAAUAGCAUUGUCUUACACAGCAAGUAUGAAGCAUAUGGAACUUACUAUCCCAGGAGCUAAGCCAAAAAUGCAAAUAGACUCAAGGAGAGGUGAAGUAAAAUUCUGAGUGGUAGGACUUAAAGUGAGGACAUGCCAAACUUCUGAGGGCACAGAAAGCAGCUGCUGUUUCUGUUUUACCCCCUUGGUGCCAGUGUUAGAAAGAGCAGGCUGAAUUAAACAUGAGCUGGUCUUUAGCAGAAAUCUGUUUGGCUAGAGUUUAAAGAAGUGGGUGCUUUGAUGGCUGAAGCUUUCUAGAACUCAUAGCUGGAGGUCUUUGACCUCUUCAUUGUAGGUUAAAUCCCACACAUACCUGCCCAGAGACAGCGUUCAGUAAGUUUUUUUUAAAUUUCAUUUUUAAAAUUCAAAAAUAAUAAUUGUGCAGAUUCAUGGAAUAUAUGAUGACGUUUUCAUACAUAUAUUUUGGAGUGAUCUGAUUAGGAUAAUUAGCCUACCUAUCAUCUCAAACAUUUCUCAUUUCUUUAUGUUGGGAACAUUCAAUAUCCUCCUUCUAGCUGUUUGAAACAAUAUAGUAUUGUUAACUGUAGCUAUCCUACAGUGCUACAAAACACUAGAACUUAAUCCUUUUAUCUAGGUGAAGUUUUGUAUCUUUUAACAGAAUCUAAGGUUUUGUUGAGUAAAAGAGAUUUCCAAACUCUUGGACCCAUUCUGACCCCAAGGAAGUGAAAGGAGCCAUUUUUCAGGAGUUUGGAUGGUGGCAGCAAUAUUUUUGACAGUCUGGCCCACAGCCAUACUAAUUUACUAAUUCUUCUACUGACAUGGCCCUGAGUUGUGAGUUUGUUUGGGUAUCAGGGCAAGUAUUCCCAGGGCUUGCUUCAUGAUUGGUCUAAGCAACUGUGUUCAUCUCAUUCCCCUUUCCAGUAAUCGUUUUAGUCAUAGUUACAUGACCCAAUUCUGGCCAUGGGGACAUGAGGAAUUCAGCAGGGAAGCUUUUAGAAAAGAUUUUUUCUCUCAGAUUUAAAAAUAAAAAAAUACACGGAAGGAGAAGUUGUUUUAGUCCUUCCUACUUUCAAUACUAUCAUGUGAGGAUGUGAUUCAUGGAACUACUGCAGCUUUCUUGUGAACAUGAGGGAAACUAAGAAGUUCAGCCAGAGUCCUGACAUUGGUGAGCUACAGAAACAGCUUUAGGUAAGUAUUCUUCCGGACUUUGUAUGUGAGAUUGCUAAUUAGCCCUAUUGUUUAAGCCAACUUUAGUUGGGUAUUCUGCUACUUGCAGCCAAAAGCAUCCUAACUGAUGUGAUUACUAUGUGUGUUUUGUUCACCACUAAUGCCUAGCACGGGGUCUGGCAUAUAGCUAGAAGCUCAGUAAUUGUUUUUUGAAUUAGCGAAUGAUAGCACUGUUCAAUCUUACUGCUGGGUCUACUCUGGCUAUGCUCUGGCUCUGGUAGAGAAGUUCUGGAGAGGUCCCAGGAGUCUAUCUGAUCCUGGGUUACCUGCCUGGAGUCCCAGCACUUGGCUGCUGGGUUUUUUUUGGUUCUUGACAGGUUUUCCAGGAUUGGAGUUAUGCCCCUGGCCAGUGGUGACUUAUAGUUCUCCCUGAGACCAACCUCUGCCCAGACUGUAGAAGGACAACUUGCAUAUCUUCUGUUGCUGAGUUCCUUCUGGAGAGAAACUACAUUGUUACCUUCUGUUGAGCUGCCUUGCCAUAGACCUCCUGCCUCGAUUGCCAGGCCUCAACUUUAUCCCCUGCUUGUUUUCAAGUUUCUUUGAGAAGUGCCUUUGAGAAAGUCCUCAUGAGCUGACGUUGAUUCCAUGGUUUCCAGUGAAGUGGGAACCUCACCGAGUACUAUCACUCAUUGUGGCCUGUUUGCCUUCCUUUACUCUCAGAGUGGGCAGAGUCUUGAACAGCUGGAAGCACAGGGAAAGACAAAGCAGCAAAACAUUGGGUCAGGUUUUCCUCCCAAUCAUACUUUUCAGAGAGAGAGAAACAUGAUCAGAAUCCAAGACAAGCAGGUGUUCAGCAUCUACUAAGAGGGCUUUUGAAGCAACUUUAAGGAAUAGUUUUUAAAUAAUUCUGCCUGGGCCUUCAAAUCACAUCCCAUCCUAAAUUUUAAGAAGCAAAAUUAUUACGUGUCAUUACAAAUGUGAUGAUUAUUAGAGCCAAGGCUUCAAUUUACAUCAAAUGUAUGUAUAUCAAGGGUGCCUCAUACCACCCAUGUGUCCAGCAGAGUUGUACCCAAAUUAUAGAAAUCAGCACAGAAAAUUUCUUUCUAAAAUGAUUAUAGAUUUAUAGUAGAAUAUUUGCAUGAUGGGGCAAGUUUCUCUGCCCCGGACCAUCAUUGCCUUGCUCGGUACUUUCUUCUGAUGGGGAAGGGAGUUUUAAGCAUAAUGUCGAAUCUAAGUUAUACUUUGAGAAGUCAAUAUUGGCAAGAUUUUUGGCUGGUUCUGCCAGGCCCAAAGAGUUCAUAUUGUAGGUCCUGUCCAACGUUGCUCAGUCAUAGGUUCUGUUCUUCACUAGUGAUACUUCCACCCAAGACCUGGAACAGAAAGCUUACUUCCAAACACUACUUUCUAGACCCACAUUACAGAUGGAGCAGAGUUUUUCUGAGCCUGACAUUGUGCAGACAUCUGUUCUGCCGGCCUGCGUGCCUGUCACUCUGCUUCCUGCUUAGGCAUCAAAACCUCAACCUUAACAGGCAUCUAGGACUUAUACCUGGAGGGCUUCACAGCUCUACCUCCCACCUUCUAUACUGUCUAAAGACUCCUUUGUUUCUGAUUCCUGGAAAUUUCCCUUUCUUGUUUGCAUGUGUAUUAAAGAAAAACUGCUAAGCUCUGAGCAUUCAGCCCAUUUAUUGAAUGACCCCAGGCCCACUGGAAAUUCAGGCAACCAAUUGUGGACUUCUUUGAAACCAGAUUUCCCUUUAUUACAGAAAAGGAAAGGAAGAAUUUACAUUCUGCCUCAUGGGCCAACCAGAGACCUGAACUCAGAAUCUUGCCUUCUGGGUGUAUGUCCUUCUUUUUGCCAUAUCCAAGUUCUUUCCAUUUCUGCUUGGAGAGACCUGCUGAAAUCACACUUGAGGGAGGCAAUGUGACUCUCCCUGACCAGAAUCACCCAUGAAGCUGGAUUAUGAGCUCCCAUGAAACCAGACUCAUCACUCAAACUGAGACUUGGUUUGUGACCCCAGACAGCAUUUCCCAGCAUGAUCACCCAACCUACUCAGCAGACUGCUCCAAAUGGCUUAGAACUGUUUUCAAAACUCACAUCCUCCGUCUGAGGAUACAUGCUGUCAGGGUUAUCUUUCUAAAACACAUCUCAGAUCAUGUGCUUCAGUGGUUCUCAGUUGCAUAGAUAAUUAAGUCUCAACUUCUCAGCCUGAUUUUCAAAACUUUAUUAUACAACUCCCACUCAGCCUUCCAGUUCUGUCAUCGACCAGCAGUCUCCCAUGAACACACGACGACCUUUCUAGUUACCAAUGAAAAGUACCAUUUACUGAGCUCUUAUUAUGUGCCCCACACUGCACUAAGAGCUUUAAACAAUAUCUCAUUUUAUCCUUAUAGGAUUUUGUAGGAUAAAUAUUAUCUCUGUAGUACAAAUAAUAAAACAAUGAUUGCUAGCUCUUUUUAUAGUGCUUACAAUGUGCUAAGGCAUUGUUCUAUAGAAAUAUGUGUGCCACAUAUGUAAUUUUACAUUUUUCGUAGCCACAUUAAAAAGUCAAAAGAAAUAAGUGAAGCUGAUUUUAAUAAAAUAUUUUGUCAGGGAGCUUGUAAUUAACAUAAGAAAUCAUUAAUGAGAUAUUCCACAUUUUCUUUCUUUUUUUAUUUUUUGAUACUAAGUCAUUAAAAUCUGGUGUGUAUUUUACACCUAUAACAUAUCUCAAUUUGGAUGCUAAAUUUUCAUUGGAAACAUUUGAAUUCCAAUGAAAUCAACACAAUAAAUACUAUGUUUAUAUUUUAUAAAAUGUACAGUAAAAAAAUGUAGAUUACAUACCCAAGUUGUUAUGAACAUAUCUGCAUAUCUGGAAGAUUUCUAACAUCUGAAUCAAGUACCAAAAAGUCAUUUCCUUUUCUAUUCUCAUCCAAAUUGUUAAAAUUGCUUGAAUUUAACAUUUUUAAUUUCACUUUCAAUCAAUUAAAAUAGAGUUAAAAUUUUAAUUUCUAACGUUGCCCUAGCCACAUUUCAAGCCUCAGUAGCCACAUGUGGCUGUGGCUGCCGUGCUGGACAGCAUAGGUCUAAGCACUUUACUACUGUGAGGUAGGUGCUGUUAUUAUCUUCACUUCAUUCUCAGCAAACUAACAAAAGAACAGAAAACCAAACGCCGCAUGUUCUCACCACAUUGUUCAAGUGGGAGUUGAACAAUGAGAACACAUGG